rnacentral:misc_RNA from 1 species
GAUGAAGAACGCAGCGAAAUGCGAUAAGUAAUGUGAAUUGCAGAAUUCAGUGAAUCAUCGAAUCUUUGAACGCACCUUGCGCCCUUUGGCUAUUCCGAAGGGCAUGCCUGUUUGAGUAUCAUGAACACCUUAACUCUCAUGGUUUGCCAUGAUGAGCUUGGACUUUGGGGGUCUUGCUGGCCUAUGGUCAGCUCCUCUAAAAUGAAUCAGCUUGCCAGUGUUUGGUGGCAUCACAGGUGUGAUAACUAUCUACGCUUGUGGUUUUCCACUAGGUAACCUUCAGCAAUGGAGGUUCACCGGAGCUCACAAAUGUCUCUCCUUGCCAAGGACAGAUUUUGACCAUUUGAUCUCAAAUCAGGUAGGACUACCCGCUGAACUUAAGCAUAUCAAUAAGCGGAGGA